GACGAACGCUGGCGGCGUGCCUAAUACAUGCCAGUCGAACGCUUCUUUCCUCCCGAGUGCUUGCACUCAAUUGGAAAGCGGAGUGGCGGACGGGUGAGUAACACGUGGGUAACCUACCCAUCAGAGGGGGAUAACACUUGGAAACAGGUGCUAAUACCGCAUAACAGUUUAUGCCGCAUGGCAUAAGAGUGAAAGGCGCUUUCGGGUGUCGCUGAUGGAUGGACCCGCGGUGCAUUAGCUAGUUGGUGAGGUAACGGCUCACCAAGGCCACGAUGCAUAGCCGACCUGAGAGGGUGAUCGGCCACACUGGGACUGAGACACGGCCCAGACUCCUACGGGAGGCAGCAGUAGGGAAUCUUCGGCAAUGGACGAAAGUCUGACCGAGCAACGCCGCGUGAGUGAAGAAGGUUUUCGGAUCGUAAAACUCUGUUGUUAGAGAAGAACAAGGACGUUAGUAACUGAACGUCCCCUGACGGUAUCUAAACAGAAAGCCACGGCUAACUACGUG
rnacentral:rRNA from 1 species